rnacentral:misc_RNA from 1 species
UUAUGGAUUACCCUCUUUAUUUGUUGAAAGAGUCAAAGAACAAAUUAGAGAUAAAAAUGUAGGUACAAUUCCUUAUCAUCUGUACACCUAUGGAGGGGAAAAAAAGGAGAAAGAAAAAAUAUUAUAAGCCUAAAAGGCAUCAUACAAAAGAAAAGCCUGAGUCUUCUAAAAAGAAUACUCGUAAAAAAGGAAAAGGGCCUUCUAAAAAGAAGGAAAAAGACAAAGAAGUUGUUUGCUAUAAAUGUGGAAAAGUAGGUCAUUAUGCUAAUAAGUGUAAAGUUAAAUAGCAAAUACAAGCAUUAUCAAUAGAAAA